rnacentral:rRNA from 1 species
GUCUACGGCCAUACCACCCUGAACAUCCCUGAUCUCAUCUGAUCUUGGAAGCUAAGCAAAGUUGGGACUGGUUAGUACUUGGAUGGGAGACUACCUGGGAAUACUGGGUGCCGUAGGCU